AUUGAACGCUGGCGGCAGGCCUAACACAUGCAAGUAGAACGAGUGGCGGACGGGUGCGUAAUGUCUGGGAAACUGCCUGAUGGAGAGGGAUAACUACUGGAAACGGUAGCUAAUACCGCAUACCAUCGGAUGUUCCCAGAUGGGAUUAGAUAGUAGGUGGGGUAAAGGCUCACCUAGGCGACGAUCCCUAGCUGGGCUGAGAGGAUGACCAGCCACACUGGAACUGAGACACGGUCCAGACUCCUACGGGAGGCAGAAGUGGGGAAUAUUGCACAAUGGGCGCAAGCCUGAUGCAGCCAUGCCGCGUGUAUGAAGAAGGCCUUCGGGUUAUAAAGUACUUUCAGCGGAGAGGCGUUACCCGCAGAAGAAGCACCGGCUAACUCCGUGCCAGCAGCCGCGGUAAUUC
rnacentral:rRNA from 1 species